rnacentral:misc_RNA from 1 species
UCUCCGUAGGUGAACCAGCGGAAGGAUCAUUACUGAAGAAACCAUGAGAAAGCACUGUCACUCUUACGACUGGCUGCGCACGCCCGACUGCCCUCAGUCACCUUCAUCCCCCCCCAACGUGCACUACCGCGCGCGUCCCCCCCUGGCGCGUCCGGAGCUGGGCUUACGUUUGCACACAAACUUUGAAUUACGAGAAGAAUGUAUUUUUAGUUUUUGCGAACACGCAAUCAAUACAACUUUCAACAACGGAACUCUUGGCUCUCGCAUCGAAGAAGAACG